rnacentral:ncRNA from 1 species
AUAAUGGUACCCCUGCCCGACAGGGCAGCUCGGAGCGAUCCUCGGAGGGGUGAGAUUCCC